rnacentral:lncRNA from 1 species
UCAUAAUUUCAACUAUUUCACACAUUUACAACUCAUUUUACAACUUAGCAAUCUAGCCCGUUUUAAGGUAUUUUCAUACAAUUUCUUUCACAAAAGUUGUUUAUUAGACAACUAGAACUCAUAAUCUUCCAUAAAAACACAACAAACAACACAUUUACUCUUAUGGAAAAACCCUAGACUGUUCAUCAUUUUGCACAAUAGUCCCCUCUUAUGAAAGCUCAUGCUUUAGGGGUUACAAAAAUGUAAAAAUCUUCAAGAAAGACAUUAAAAUCACUUACUUGCUAAGCCUCAAAGUUGCUGAAAAUAUGAAGCUUUCAAAACCCAUUUCUUGGCUGGAAAAA